AGAUUGAUGAACAUUGGAUUUGUUGACAAGAAGAAAAAUAUAGAAAAUUGCCAGACCAAUCCUUUAAGGUUUGUGACAUCCCAAUGUAAAGAAGACGCCAUCUUUGAGUCAGUUCCUUUAAUAAACCAUGAGCUGAAUCUAAAUGUCCACCCUGUCAGACUUCAGUCGGACAUACUGUGACGUGUUCACCACCAUCAGUCUGCGAGGACGCCGGGUCGCGAGGGGAUAAAAAUGUGCAACAAAAUGGGGACUUAAGACCUCAAGUGUUUCCAUGGAGAUGAAAUGAAACUCCUGACUCUAUAAUUCAUUUCAAAGUGGUCUUAAUGGUUUCAAUAUGUGCAGGUCUGCUGCUUUACACGGUUCACUGAGAUUCAACCUUUACAUGAGCUGCUAAACACUGCUGACAACCUUCACACUGUAGACGGACUAAAACUAAUAUUCUGUGGAACUGCAUAAAUAAACUUUCAACAAAAAUGAAAAAAAAACAAAUGUCAUCAAAGCUAAAUAUGGUUCAUCAUCAUCAUCACAUCAAUAUUACUGAGGAUUAUUGGUAAUUGUUUGAGUGAAGUCUGGUUAAAAAUCUGGUUAAAACGUCAUACAGACUGUAAGUGUCCAACGUCUGAAAUAUACCAACACAAUGAAAACUAAUGUUGAAUUCAGUUCCCUGUACACUUCCAAUUUAAUUAAGUCACAGAGAGCAGCAUCAUAUGAUGACUGACUUUUAAAACUGAGAAAACGUAAAUGUGACAGUUUGACAGAACAGUCGUUGAUUCAAUUAAAUAGUUUAUGAGACUUAAUUCUUCAACUUACGUUCAGUCAACUCACAGUUUUAAGGCAUCUGGAGAAUUUAAGUUUUUAUAGUGUUUUUGUGCUUUUUAAUAUUUAUUUUAACAGGUAAGAAACAUCAGGAAACACGCAGAUUAAUAAUCAGCUUCUUCUGUAGAUUUCUCUUCAUGAUAAUACUCAUACACACACUAUAAAGACAUUUAAAUCUUUGUAUGUAUAUUAUUCUUCCAAGAGAAUGAAGGUUGCUGCAAAUGUGACGACAUUUAUGAGAUUUUAAGGCUUUUUCAUCAUUAAAACAAACACACAGUGUAUAAGAAUCAGCUGGUCUCACGCAGAAACUCUGAUGUGAUGCAAAUGAGAACAAAAACACCAAAUAAUCACCCACACUGGCAGAUUUAUGCAUCUUUUUCUAUUAAAAUAACACAUCAAAGGCUCAGAAAAACAAAAUUCUUCCUCUUCAGUUCUUCCUCCGUCUCUUCCAGCAGUGUUUCCUGUCACUAAAUCCCAUUCCGAAGCUUAGAAACAUCCAAAAAUCAUCAGUUUAGAUGUUUUCUUUCUAAAGUUUUCUUUCUCUGCAAGGUCACAAACACAAUCACAGGCUCCCCGACUCGUCUUCGACUCGUCUUCUAACUUUGUGAUCGUCCCGCUCCUCCAGCUGAGCGUCUCCUCGUCCUCUGCAGGCCGACCCGCUGAGGCCCCGGAGCCUUCGUCUUUGUUCCUUCCCUCCGUCCUCUCCCCCGCCGGGAUAAGCUUUUAGCUGCAUCCUAGCUGCGCAGGCUAACCGCCACGCAGCAGCUCUCACAGGCUCCUCGCUGUUCCAGCCAAAUGCCGCCACACAACACCAUAUAAUUAAGAGCUCUGAAUGCGAGCAGGCAAAUGCAAAGCAAUUUGGGAUGAGGCGAGAGGCUGAGAGAGACGGAGGAGGCAGGAGGGGGAGGAGGACAGCGGCGAGCCAACAGCCGUUUCAAUCUAAUUGGGCCAUAUCAAUUUAUUUCACAUUUCUGAAAUGUCACGCCUUGAUGUGAAGCUAACCGAAUUUGCAUACGUGCCGCAGCAUGUUUUUACCUCAGCAGCAGAGUGUGGACGAAAUAAAUAGAGACAGGAAUAAAUAGAGGAGAAGAGACGGCGGAGGGAAAUGCCAGAACCUUUCUGCCUCCGGCUGAGCGCCGCGGACCGGCGAGGGUGUGGCGACGCCGCCGCCGCAUCGCCUGAUGUUUCCAAAUGAUGUUUCCUGAUGGAGCGUCGGCUUUUAAACACAGGCGGUGGCGGAGGUGACACAUCUACUGCAGAGCUGAGAGAAGAAAUUCAACACAACAACAGCAAUAUGCAGCAAAUUCACUGGAGUCAAAGUUCUAGUGUUAUUUUAGGCUAAUUUAGAGGGAAGUGUUGAGGUUCUGGUGCUGGUUCUGAGGAAUUAACUCCAGUACCAGUACAUCCAGAGAGAACCUAAUGUUGAACAUCACAGAGUUUACCCUAUUCAACACCUACGAGUGUUUCAACAUCGGGCAUUUGGGCAGCUGCAGUUGGAAGGAAUUUGCUUCUUUGCAUCUCUUGACUUGUAGAAGUCAAGAAGAUCAGGAGGGUUUUCAUUCAGAAAAUCAACCUUCAGGUAAGUUUUAAUCUAUUAAGUUGCUGUAAUGUAAAUAAGACCAUGUAAUUGAUGCACCUGUUGUAUUUCACUGAUAUUCAGUAAAGCUUUAGAAUCGAGGUCAUAACAACCAAGACGGCAUAAAGACGCCUCUCUGUGUUUUACAGUGUGUUUGUUUGGAAGCAUACAAAGACAUCACAAUCAUCACAUGAGGUGUGAAGAGCAGUAUGUAAAGUAAAAGACAAUAUUUAUUCAUAAUUAAAACAGCAUUGAAAGGAUGUCUGAAGAGAUUUCAUGUUGUCUUCCUCCUCCUCUUCCUCUACAGCCUGAUGUUGUAAAUGGAAAAAAGAAAUGAAAAUGAAAGAAAUGCAUCAAAUUACAAGCAGCUCAUUUUGAAGGUAAACUUCCCAGCUGGUAUAUAAAUAACCAGUGAUUCAAACUGAGUUUAAGUUAUUAUAUUGUGUAAUUUAAACACUUGUGAGAAGUUCUCCAUCUGUGGACAAGAUGACGGAGGAAGAUGAUUCUGGUACCGAGGUGGAUGAAACAGUCAUGAUGAUGGUAAAUUUAAAAUAUAUUUAUAUUGCAUUAGUGGUCGUUGGAGAUUCAACCACUGCAAUGACUUAAUUAUCUUACAUCCAGUUUAGCAUAUAAAAUAUUAAGACACCUGUUGGAAAAGGUUUAACUUGAAGUAACGGGUUUCAUUGAUAAGUAAUUGGUUAAAAAAGCACAAAAUGCAUCAAAGCAAAGCAGAAGUUUUCUCUAUUGAUCCUUCAUCAUUCAAUCAGGAAAGAUACAUGCGGCGUGUUUGCGUGGCUGAAAGCAGACGUCACGUCCAGAGCUGAAUACAAGAUUUUAUCCACAUUUCACCUGCAAACAGACAGACUGUUACUGUUACUGAGAUCUCAAAGCCAGCGGAGUGAAUUAGAAGUGAUGAAGAGGGAUUGCAGAGUUCUUCAGCCAGAGAGACACGGAGCCAAAUCCAGAACACACUGUUGAUCCUUGUUAGAGGUUCACAUGUGUGACAGUAGAAGAAGAAGGUUAACCUUCCUGCAGCUCACGUGGUCGAGACUGAAGGUAAGAUAUAGGUUAAAGGUGAGUGUAAGGAUGAGCAGAACUGUGUGACGAUUACGGACAUUUAACUGAACUUUUCUUUUUUUUUCAUUUUAAAUAAAUUCCCAUAGUGCAUCAUUACUAAAAUUAACGAAGGCAGUCAGAAAUGUGGAUUUAGAGCUGAAUUAUCAGUAGUUUCUUACUAGUCACCUUGUUGGAUUGUGAAACAGGUGAGACUAGAGAAGAAAACAGCAGUGUUAGUGUUGGUCUCAGAUCUGCAGUCGACUCAUUUUACUGCAGUAAUGUUAAUAACUGUCUGAUCCAUAUGAAGUCAUAUCAGAUACUUGA